AUUGAACGCUGGCGGCAGGCCUAACACAUGCAAGUCGAGCGAACCUAGCUUGCUAGGUGAGCGGCGAACGGGUGAGUAACGCGUAGGAAUCUGCCUGGUAGUGGGGGACAACGUUCCGAAAGGAACGCUAAUACCGCAUACGCCCUACGGGGGAAAGCAGGGGAUCUUCGGACCUUGCGCUAUCAGAUGAGCCUGCGUCGGAUUAGCUAGUUGGUGGGGUAAAGGCCUACCAAGGCGACGAUCCGUAACUGGUCUGAGAGGAUGAUCAGUCACACCGGAACUGAGACACGGUCCGGACUCCUACGGGAGGCAGCAGUGGGGAAUAUUGGACAAUGGGGGCAACCCUGAUCCAGCCAUGCCGCGUGUGUGAAGAAGGCCUUCGGGUUGUAAAGCACUUUAGGUCGGGAGGAAGGUUCGCUGGCUAAUAUCCAGCGGAAUUGACGUUACCGACAGAAUAAGCACCGGCUAACUCCGUGCCAGCAGCCGCGGUAAUACGGAGGGUGCGAGCGUUAAUCGGAAUUACUGGGCGUAAAGCGCGCGUAGGCGGCUUGAUAAAUCGGGUGUGAAAUCCCUGGGCUUAACCUGGGAACUGCAUCCGACACUGUCAGGCUAGAGUGUGGGAGAGGGUGACGGAAUUCCCGGUGUAGCGGUGAAAUGCGUAGAUAUCGGGAGGAACAUCAGUGGCGAAGGCGGUUGCCUGGCCCAACACUGACGCUGAGGUGCGAAAGCGUGGGUAGCAAACAGGAUUAGAUACCCUGGUAGUCCACGCCGUAAACGAUGUCGACUAGCCGUUGGGAACCUUAGAGUUUCUUGUGGCGCAGCUAACGCGAUAAGUCGACCGCCUGGGGAGUACGGCCGCAAGGUUAAAACUCAAAUGAAUUGACGGGGGCCCGCACAAGCGGUGGAGCAUGUGGUUUAAUUCGAUGCAACGCGAAGAACCUUACCACCCCUUGACAUCCUGCGAACUUUCUAGAGAUAGAUUGGUGCCUUCGGGAGCGCAGAGACAGGUGCUGCAUGGCUGUCGUCAGCUCGUGUUGUGAAAUGUUGGGUUAAGUCCCGUAACGAGCGCAACCCUUGUCCUUAGUUGCCAGCGAGUAAUGUCGGGAACUCUAAGGAGACUGCCGGUGACAAACCGGAGGAAGGUGGGGACGACGUCAAGUCAUCAUGGCCCUUACGGGGUGGGCUACACACGUGCUACAAUGGCCGGUACAGACGGUUGCAAACCCGCGAGGGGGAGCCAAUCCGAGAAAACCGGUCGUAGUCCGGAUUGCAGUCUGCAACUCGACUGCAUGAAGUCGGAAUCGCUAGUAAUCGCGGAUCAGAAUGCCGCGGUGAAUACGUUCCCGGGCCUUGUACUCACCGC
rnacentral:rRNA from 1 species